CUGGCGGCGUGUUAACACAUGCAAGUCGAGCGAUGAAGUCCUUCGGGACGGAUUAGCGGCGGACGGGUGAGUAACACGUGGGUAACCUGCCUCAUAGAGGGGAAUAGCCUUCCGAAAGGAAGAUUAAUACCGCAUAAGAUUGUAGUUUCGCAUGAAACAGCAAUUAAAGGAGUAAUCCGCUAUGAGAUGGACCCGCGUCGCAUUAGCUAGUUGGUGAGGUAACGGCUCACCAAGGCGACGAUGCGUAGCCGACCUGAGAGGGUGAUCGGCCACAUUGGGACUGAGACACGGCCCAGACUCCUACGGGAGGCAGCAGUGGGGAAUAUUGCACAAUGGGGGAAACCCUGAUGCAGCAACGCCCGCGUGAGUGAUGACGGUCUUCGGAUUGUAAAGCUCUGCCUUCAGGGACGAUAAUGACGGUACCUGAGGAGGAAGCCACGGCUAACUACGUGCCAGCAGCAGC
rnacentral:rRNA from 1 species